AGAAACUUAGGUUAAAUACUUAAACCAAGAGCCUUCAAAGCCCUAAACAUGGGGCAACCCCGUAGUUUCUG
rnacentral:tRNA from 2 species